UACAGAGGGUGCGAGCGUUAAUCGGAAUUACUGGGCGUAAAGGGUGCGUAGGCGGUUAUAUAAGUUAGAUGUGAAAUCCCCGGGCUUAACCUGGGAAUUGCAUUUAAUACUGUGUGACUAGAGUAGAGUAGAGGGAAGUGGAAUUUCCGGUGUAGCGGUGAAAUGCGUAGAUAUCGGAAAGAACAUCAGUGGCGCAGGCGGCUUCCUGGCCUCAUACUGACGCUGAGGCACGAAAGCAUGGGGAGCAAACAGG
rnacentral:rRNA from 1 species